UACGGAGGGUGCAAGCGUUGUCCGGAAUCACUGGGCGUAAAGGGCGUGUAGGCGGUCAUGUAAGUGGGAUGUGAAAGCCCUCGGCUCACCCGAGGAUCUGCAUCUCAAACUGCAUGGCUUGAGUAUGGGAGAGGAUGAGGGAAUUCCUGGUGUAGCGGUGAAAUGCGUAGAUAUCAGGAGGAACACCGGUGGCGAAGGCGCUCAUCUGGCCCAAUACUGACGCUGAGGCGCGAAAGCUAGGGGAGCAAACGGG
rnacentral:rRNA from 1 species